UACGUAGGUCCCGAGCGUUAUCCGGAUUUAUUGGGCGUAAAGCGAGCGCAGGCGGUUAGAUAAGUCUGAAGUUAAAGGCUGUGGCUUAACCAUAGUACGCUUUGGAAACUGUUUAACUUGAGUGCAAGAGGGGAGAGUGGAAUUCCAUGUGUAGCGGUGAAAUGCGUAGAUAUAUGGAGGAACACCGGUGGCGAAAGCGGCUCUCUGGCUUGUAACUGACGCUGAGGCUCGAAAGCGUGGGGAGCAAACAGGAUUAGAAACCCCGGUAGUCC
rnacentral:rRNA from 1 species